AUUGAACGCUGGCGGCAUGCCUUACACAUGCAAGUCGAACGGCAGCACGGGAGCUUGCUCCUGGUGGCGAGUGGCGAACGGGUGAGUAAUACAUCGGAACGUAUCCUGAAGUGGGGGAUAACGUAGCGAAAGUUACGCUAAUACCGCAUAUUCUGUGAGCAGGAAAGAGGGGGAUCGCAAGACCUCUUGCUUUAGGAGCGGCCGAUGUCGGAUUAGCUAGUUGGUGAGGUAAAGGCUCACCAAGGCGACGAUCCGUAGCGGGUCUGAGAGGAUGAUCCGCCACACUGGGACUGAGACACGGCCCAGACUCCUACGGGAGGCAGCAGUGGGGAAUUUUGGACAAUGGGCGCAAGCCUGAUCCAGCCAUGCCGCGUGAGUGAAGAAGGCC
rnacentral:rRNA from 1 species